GGCCCCAUCGUCUAGCGGUUAGGACACCAGGUUCUCAUCCUGGCAGCCAGAGUUCGAUUCUCUGUGGGGUCA
rnacentral:tRNA from 3 species